UGGGAAAAUUCAUCAAUUAAGACUACCAAAAACAAAAUCUUUAUUGAUGAUCAUCAGUAGGGAUAAAAAUUUCCUGCACAAAUGAUCGAUGUUACAGAAACUGAGAUACACAGUGAGUUCUGGCAGUGCUUCCUUCAUAUUGUGGAUGCUGUCAAGAACAUAAUCAGCCCCCGAAAUUCGAUUCGAUUUGCCCACCUAAAACCCAGUUUUUUCAGAUUAGCAUAUGAGGAAAUUUUUUUUUCUUUUUUCAGAUCAUAAAUGCCAAGAAAGAGAAAUCCUGUGGUGACUUACCAACACAGUCCUGAGUCCCAUUUGCUUUCCUGUCUGUAUGUUCCGGAUGCUAUCAUCAAAGAAUAUCUGAAAAAAAAAAUAAAGCAUUAUAUAGAUAAAUUCUUCAAGUUAAAGCUCAAUUGCAGGCAAGAAAUUAAUGAACUUCUAGCUUUGAAAUCCA